UACGAAGGGUGCAAGCGUUAAUCGGAAUACUGGCGUAAGCGUGCGCAGGCGGUGAUGUAAGACAGAUGUGAAAUCCCCGGGCUCAACCUGGGACCUGCAUUUGUGACUGCAUCGCUAGAGUACGGUAGAGGGGGAUGGAAUUCCGCGUGUAGCAGUGAAAUGCGUAGAUAUGCGGAGGAACACCGAUGGCGAAGGCAAUCCCCUGGACCUGUACUGACGCUCAUGCACGAAAGCGUGGGGAGCAAACAGG
rnacentral:rRNA from 1 species